AGUACGAAUUUACACAUGUCAAUGUUCUCACUUGCUCAACUCAGCAUGCAAAAAACCAACAAACAUAACCGACAUGAUUUGAUAAACAGCGAAGGCAGCCGCUAUUCGUGUCUAUUGAAUGUAAACAAGUUGUGUAGCCGAGCACGAAUUAGUGCAUUCAGUAAAGCGUAAGAGAAAAUUCAAAGAAUUAUUGAAAAUUGGGCAUUGUGUAAAAUAAAAUAGUGAAAUACGAAAAAGUAUAAGCUUGAGAAAAUGUAAAAACGAUAAAAAGAAUGUUUAAAUUGUGGUGAUUUGAAUAAAUAUGACUUACAAGAGAAAAAAAUAAAUGAGUAAACAUACAUAAGUGAAGUUCAAGAUGAAAUCGAAAAGUUGAAAUGCAGAAUAUGUGUGUGGAAAGAUGACAAAUAAAACUAAAACGUGAAAAAUUUUAGUAAAAAUCUAACAAACGAAAUAAUAUUUACCGAAGAACUCUCACGUCAUUUACCGUCAUAUUGCCAAGUCAACACUCGAGCCGAAAAAUUGUCUGAUAGCUUUUUUUUACCGUAAAUAGUGAAGUGAUUACGAACUUUUCAUUAGUGUGAUAUAAAUCUUACCGUUAACUAGUCCUCGCUCAUCCGCUUAGUGAGACAAGCGAAAAGAAACUAAAUAACGUAAUAAAAACUGAAUUAAGCUAAAGACUAUUUGUGUUAAAGAGUAUUUAUCGGAUGCACAAUAUUUCCACAUUUGCUUUAGGACGAAGAGCGCUUGAAUGGCAUCUGCACAGAGGAAGUCUACACCAAAGUGUGUGGAGUGACUAGAAAAAAUUUAACCCAACAUUGGCUUUAUAAAGAGAACUAGCAGAACGAAUCACCGAUUUUGAACAAGUAACAUAACCAGAAACAGUUUUACCUCAACCUAUGGAAAACAACCGCUGCAACGCAAGAAGCAAGCGAUUGGGAAGAAGGUAAUUCGCCAGGUGUAGACUGAGUGCUGACGAAUGACGA